GGAGGCGUACCCAAGUGGCUGAAGGGAUCGGUCUUGAAAACCGACAGUGGGGUCCUGCUCCAGCAAGAGUUCGAAUCUCUUCGCCUCCGCCA
rnacentral:tRNA from 1 species